GAUGAACGCUGGCGGCGUGCCUAAUACAUGCAAGUCGAGCGAACGGACGAGAAGCUUGCUUCUCUGAUGUUAGCGGCGGACGGGUGAGUAACACGUGGAUAACCUACCUAUAAGACUGGGAUAACUUCGGGAAACCGGAGCUACUACCGGAUAAUAUUUUGAACCGCAUGGUUCAAAAGUGAAAGACGGUUUUGCUGUCACUUAUAGAUGGAUCCGCGCUGCAUUAGCUAGUUGGUAAGGUAACGGCUUACCAAGGCAACGAUGCAUAGCCGACCUGAGAGGGUGAUCGGCCACACUGGAACUGAGACACGGUCCAGACUCCUACGGGAGGCAGCAGUAGGGAAUCUUCCGCAAAGGGCGAAAGCCUGACGGAGCAACGCCGCGUGAGUGAUGAAGGUCUUCGGAUCGUAAAACUCUGUUAUUAGGGAAGAACAUAUGUGUAAGUAACUGUGCACAUCUUGACGGUACCUAAUCAGAAAGCCACGGCUAACUACGUG
rnacentral:rRNA from 1 species